CUUGCAGAGAAUGGAUUAGUGGCGAACGGGUGAGUAACACGUGGGUAACCUGCCCAUAAGAGGGGGAUAACAUUCGGAAACGGAUGCUAAUACCGCAUAGGUCUUUGAGACGCCUGUCUCUUAGAUGAAAGGUGGCUUCGGCUGCCGCUUAUGGAUGGACCCGCGGCGUAUUAGCUAGUUGGUGAGGUAAUGGCUCACCAAGGCUGUGAUACGUAGCCGACCUGAGAGGGUGAUCGGCCACACUGGGACUGAGACACGGCCCAGACUCCUACGGGAGGCAGCAGUAGGGAAUCUUCCACAAUGGGUGAAAACCUGAUGGAGCAAUACCGCGUGAGUGAAGAAGGUCUUCGGAUCGUAAAGCUCUGUUGUUAGAGAAGAANAAGUCGGGUAGUAACUGCCCCGGCCUUGACGGUAUCUAACCAGAAAGUCACGGCUAACUACGUGCCAGCAGCCGCGGUAAUACGUAGGUGACAAGCGUUGUCCGGAUUUAUUGGGCGUAAAGCGAGCGCAGGCGGUCUUUUAAGUCUGAUGUGAAAGCCCACCGGCUCAACCGUGGAGGGUCAUUGGAAACUGGAAGACUUGAAUGCAGAAGAAGAAAGUGGA
rnacentral:rRNA from 1 species